GAGCUCAUUGAUCAUCAUAACAGAGUCUAUUGAAAGUCCUCAGCAGGCGGUGUGACGAUGUGACCAGCUCUGGCCAAGGAGCUGUAGGCAGAAGUGUCUUGCAGCAGCUCCUGUAAAUCUUAAAAGACAGCUGGUGCGUGUCUUUUUUCCUUUUUUUUUCCCUUCCCCCUUCCUGCUGCGCUGAAUAUGGAUAUGGUGAGUGAAUCUAGAGCAGCCAUUUGGAGGUAUGAAGAGAUCUUGGAAAUAGAGGCCAUGUGUGUUGAAACAAGACCGAACAACUCCAAGUUCCUGAAGACUUCAUUUCACCAACCCAGAACCUCCUUGAUCAUCACAGUGUUCAAAUGGUUUCCAGCAACAUUCCUACCACCUACUUUGCUGACACAAAGGUGCAUAAACAGAAGUCCUAUGUGGUCGAACCAUUUUACAUUUUCACCAGCAAUGAAGGAGGGUUCCUGUUGCUCUACCAUUUGGUACUGUCAGCGUUUUGGAUAUUAGCCGUCCUAAUAGCCUUUGCAUGGAUGAUUGUCUGUCCUCUGUUGGGCCCCUUCUGAAGAGUUGGAGUUGGCUUUAUACAAUUAUUCCCAAAUCUUCUAAACUGACAGUGAGGGAGAGUAAUUUGAAAGGACUGCUCAACUCAACGUCAUUUGAAGAUUUGCACCACAGCUGCAUUUUUCCAAUUUCCUGGCAUCUAUUCUGCUCUCCUGGACUUUUCAAAAACAAUUUCUUUCAGAUCCCUGGAGGCCUCUCCCAGGGCCUGUGGUGUGGAGAGUUGGACUUGACCCUACUGUAAGAGACCCAACUUCCAAAGACUGCAUCAGAUGAAAGGCUCUCCAUAUAGACUACAGACUUGUCAGCUGGUUAAGGAGGCAAACAGAACAGUCUGCUACAAACUCCAGUCCAUGUAUCUGUGCUGAAAAUAAAAGGAGUCUUCAGGAAUCAAAGAAGAAAAUAUUUUUAUAAAGAAAUUUUAUUGCAUAAUUCUUGUAUACAAUAAACAUAGGAAAAGGGUUUUUAAUGAAAAUUCAUGUCAUUUUUCA
rnacentral:lncRNA from 1 species